UGGGGAAUAUUGCACAAUGGGCGCAAGCCUGAUGCAGCCAUGCCGCGUGUAUGAAGAAGGCCUUCGGGUUGUAAAGUACUUUCAGCGGGGAGGAAGGGAGUAAAGUUAAUACCUUUGCUCAUUGACGUUACCCGCAGAAGAAGCACCGGCUAACUCCGUGCCAGCAGCCGCGGUAAUACGGAGGGUGCAAGCGUUAAUCGGAAUUACUGGGCGUAAAGCGCACGCAGGCGGUUUGUUAAGUCAGAUGUGAAAUCCCCGGGCUCAACCUGGGAACUGCAUCUGAUACUGGCAAGCUUGAGUCUCGCAGAGGGGGGUAGAAUUCCAGGUGUAGCGGUGAAAUGCGUAGAGAUCUGGAGGAAUACCGGUGGCGAAGGCGGCCCCCUGGACAAAGACUGACGCUCAGGUGCGAAAGCGUGGGGAGCAAACAGG
rnacentral:rRNA from 1 species